rnacentral:lncRNA from 1 species
CAAAUCUUGUAAUCUUUUCUUCUUCUCUUCUUCGAAACGACAUCGUUUUUUAAUCAGAUACAUCUCUCCCAAAUUUUUUAGUUGCCUAGACACCAAAAAAGAUAUAUAUAUAUAUAUCCAAAAGACAUUCGUUUGAAGCAUAAAAUACAAACUAUCAAACACAAACAAAAACCUUACUAUUGUAGCUGGUGAAUAGUCAUAGGCUCAUAGCUCCAAUCUAUUCGCCAGCUUCAGGGGUAGAAAAUAAAGAAAUACAUUAAUUAAAGACUGAUGGCAUAAGUUUAAAGUUCAUUAGCUUUUGAUGAAUAAGUAGAUUCUUGUUGCGCUUCUGAAUCACCAAAGCAUGGUACUUGUUAGUCUUAUUAGCUUCAUCUUUUGCCAGCAGCAUGAGGUCGAACAAGUAUGAUUCAGUUUCUUUUGCGAAACUUAAUUCUCUGCAACCAAGGAUCUUUACUAGCCUCAGUUUCACGUUAUGCUGCCAACUGUUAUACUCAUUGAUAGCAGACAUCGCCAUAUACCUCACGGUAGGGCUCUUGACGUCCACAGUUAAUGGAAGAUUGACACUUAAAAUAAGUGAUGCUGACUCUGGCCUGCUGAAGGC